ACUAACAAGGAUUCCCCUAGUAACGGCGAGUGAAGAGGGAAGAGCUCAAAUUUGAAAGCUGGUACCUUCGGUAUCCGCGUUGUAACCUCGAGACACGUUUUCCGUGCGGCGCUAUGGACAAGUUCCUUGGAACAGGACAUCGUAGAGGGUGAAAAUCCCGUACUUGCCAUGGAUGUACCGUGCUUUGCGAUACGUGCUCUAAGAGUCGAGUUGUUUGGGAUUGCAGCUCAAAAUGGGUGGUAGACUCCAUCUAAAGCUAAAUAUCGGGGAGAGACCGAUAGCGAACAAGUACCGUGAGGGAAAGAUGAAAAGCACUUUGGAAAGAGAGUUAAAAGUACGUGAAAUUGUCGAAAGGGAAGCGCUUGAAGUCAGCCAUGCCGCUCAGGACUCAGCCUGGCUUUUGCUUGGUGUAUUUCCUGGGUAGCAAGUCAGCAUUGGUUUGGAUCGUCGGAGAAGCAUAGUCGGAAUGUGGCGCCCUCGGGCGUGUUAUAGCCUUCUAUUGGA
rnacentral:rRNA from 1 species